GAGACCUCUAGGGAGGGGUGCUCAGAAGCCAGGGAAAUAGGUUUCAACCAGGGCAAGCAGGUGGAAAGAGGGAGGGGUCUGCAUGCGCACAGAGCCUCCAGGCGGCUUGUGAGCUGUCUCCGCUGGGAGGGGCGAGGCUGUCACUCGCUGGGGCGUUAGAAGCCGGAGAGGCGCUUGGAAAACUUGGCCCUCCGGAGGAUCUGGUCACUCGCACUCCUCUGGGGACCUCAGAAGAAGGAGGACCUUUGGCCAUGGAAGAACUGUGCCUCCAUUGGGAGUGACUUAACACUGCCUCUGUGCUUCUUGACUGUGGCAUUAUUCAUCUUUCCAGCUCAUAUAGCAUGAAAUAAAGUGAAACAAAUGUUGAUGGCUGUUUGUGUUGAAAAAAAAGAAAAAAAGAACCAGGGAAAAGGAAGGUAAGAUGAAAUAGUUUUUAUGUUAGUCUUCUUCCAUAG
rnacentral:lncRNA from 1 species